rnacentral:lncRNA from 1 species
UGGAAGUCAUCCUAAAAACUCGAAAUUCCUUAUUUUUCUAUUUUUUAUGAUUUUUUUUCUGUUUUGAUAGUUUCAGAAAAUUCCGAAAAAGUUCUCAUAAAUUUUAAUUGACGUUAUUAGAUUAAUUUUUGUGUUUUUGUAUUUUUUCCCUUUUAUUUUAAUAGUUUUUUUUACGUAUUUCAAUUGUUUGUUCUUAAUAGGGACAUUGUCAGUAUUUUCCUAUUUGUUGCUGCAUUGCUGAAUUAGUUAUGUGUUUUCUCAUUGUUUG